rnacentral:rRNA from 1 species
AGAGUUUGAUCCUGGCUCAGAGCGAACGCUGGCGGCAGGCCUAACACAUGCAAGUCGAGCGGUAGAGAGAAGCUUGCUUCUCUUGAGAGCGGCGGACGGGUGAGUAAUGCCUAGGAAUCUGCCUGGUAGUGGGGGAUAACGUCCGGAAACGGACGCUAAUACCGCAUACGUCCUACGGGAGAAAGCAGGGGACCUUCGGGCCUUGCGCUAUCAGAUGAGCCUAGGUCGGAUUAGCUAGUUGGUGGGGUAAUGGCUCACCAAGGCGACGAUCCGUAACUGGUCUGAGAGGAUGAUCAGUCACACUGGAACUGAGACACGGUCCAGACUCCUACGGGAGGCAGCAGUGGGGAAUAUUGGACAAUGGGCGCAAGCCUGAUCCAGCCAUGCCGCGUGAGUGAUGAAGGUCUUAGGAUUGUAAAGCUCUUUCACCGAUGAAGAUAAUGACGGUAGUCGGAGAAGAAGCCCCGGCUAACUUCGUGCCAGCAGCCGCGGUAAUACGAAGGGGGCUAGCGUUGCUCGGAAUUACUGGGCGUAAAGGGAGCGUAGGCGGAUAGUUUAGUCAGAGGUGAAAGCCCAGGGCUCAACCUUGGAAUUGCCUUUGAUACUGGCUAUCUUGAGUACGGAAGAGGUAUGUGGAACUCCGAGUGUAGAGGUGAAAUUCGUAGAUAUUCGGAGGAACACCAGUGGCGAAGGCGGCUCACUGGUCCAUUACUGACGCUGAGGUGCGAAAGCGUGGGGAGCAAACAGGAUUAGAUACCCUGGUAGUCCACGCUGUAAACGAUGAGUGCUAGUUGUCGGCAUGCAUGCAUGUCGGUGACGCAGCUAACGCAUUAAGCACUCCGCCUGGGGAGUACGGUCGCAAGAUUAAAACUCAAAGGAAUUGACGGGGACCCGCACAAGCGGUGGAUGAUGUGGUUUAAUUCGAUGCAACGCGAAAAACCUUACCCACCUUUGACAUGUACGGAAUUUGCCAGAGAUGGCUUAGUGCUCGAAAGAGAGCCGUAACACAGGUGC